GGGUCUGGCAAUGAAAUGCGUGCCAGAGGAUAAAGAUGGUCGGGCCGCCAUCU
rnacentral:ncRNA from 12 species